GAUGAAGAACGUAGCGAAAUGCGAUAAGUAGUGUGAAUUGCAGAAUUCAGUGAAUCAUCGAAUCUUUGAACGCACAUUGCGCCCCUUGGUAUUCCAUGGGGCAUGCCUGUUCGAGCGUCAUUUGUACCUUCAAGCUCUGCUUGGUGUUGGGUGUUUGUCUCGCCUCUGCGUGUAGACUCGCCUUAAAACAAUUGGCAGCCGGCGUAUUGAUUUCGGAGCGCAGUACAUCUCGCGCUUUGCACUCAUAACGACGACGUCCAAAAGUACAUUUUUACACUCUUGACCUCGGAUCAGGUAGGGAUACCCGCUGAACUUAAGCAUAUCAAUAAGCUGAGGA
rnacentral:misc_RNA from 1 species